GCUGCUCAAAUGUGCUACCUCUCCGUGGUGAGCAGCAGGCAACGCGAUUCUCUCGCAGCUAAAACAUAU
rnacentral:ribozyme from 1 species